ACGCUAGAAUAAAUGUAUAGGUGUAUAUUACAAUUUGUUGCUAUUUCUAUCAAAUGUUACUAUUUUAAUAAUCAACCUGGUCAAAACCUUUCAGGUUUCUUCGUUUGAGUCAGUCGCCUUGAUUCAGAAUGUCACGAGCCUUAAGAUUUCAUGCUGAGGCGCCUUGCAAAUCCGACACUUAAGAUCCUCCUAGACCUUGAGGUGAUCAGCAUAAGAGGCCAGAUCCCCUCGAGCCAUCUACACGUAGCUUCACCUUAUUCUUUAAGGGCAGAAAAUUUGAGACGGUGACCGCCGUAACAGUAAAUUUGGCUUUCAAUUGGGGCCCCCCUCCGGUUUAGAAAGAGGAACACCAGAUUGACCACAUUCCCACCUAGAAAAAUCUUCUUGCGUCAAUCAAGCCUCACCCUGGCUCAUUGGGCUGUCAGUUUGAUCGUCGUUAGAUUGAAGAGAACACCUACCUAGAUGCAGCGCUCGCCUAUAGAUACUUCUAGAUCGUCUAGAUCUGCUAGACCUUGGGCCAAAGAGGGUCGACCUGCAAACUUGCAAGGUCCCGCUCUAGAUCCCGCUCGAGGUCCCGAGGGAGAAGGUAUUCCCGGUCACGCAGCCGCAGCCGUGGUAGGAGGUCCAGGUCAGCUUCCUAUCGCAGGUCCAGGUCCGUGUCUCCUCGUAGGUCUAGGUCUGUGUCUCCCCGCCGGUCCCGGUCGGGUUCCUUGAAGAGAUCAAGGUCUAGAUCAAGAUCCAGAUCUAGAUCCAGAUCUGUUACAUGGCCCCGAAGCAGGUCUAGAUCUCAUGGCAGAUCGAAGUCUGGCUCGCCAGCUAAGAGCCGGUCCAAGUCCCGGUCAGCAUCUCCAAAGAGAAGCCGUUCACCAUCAGGAAGCCCUCAACGAAGUGCAAGUCCUGAAAGAAUGGAUUAAAGUUAUGAAGUUAAUCUUUUAGGAAGAAAGUUAUUUUGCUUACAUUAUUAUAAGGGGUUUUGUGGUGUCUUUGUAAAUGUAAGAAUGUAGAUAGAAGAGUAUAUCAACUAAAAUUUGGCAUGAUCUGGGUCUUCUGAGUUAGUCACACCAAUAGACUAGCACAGGUCUCUUUUUAUUGUAUGAAUUAACUUCCUGUGAUAUGAAAAUGUGGGACUUUUUUAUUGGCACAUUGAAAUAAAAUGUGUAUUUUUAACUAAAACUUCUCUGUAGUAACCCUGCUGCUUCUGUUAACGUUUGGGUAAUUUUAGCUGUGUGCCAUGUAACGUGGAUGAAAAAUGUCUCAAAUGGGAAUCACUAAUCCCAGCUGGUGUCUUCUCAAGGUAGUCACUUUUCACACCUACUGUUGAAUGGUCUUUGGUGAAAGGAUCAGUUCCUGUUCUCCUUGAAAUGGAAUUUAAAUACCAUCUCUGUCUGCAGAUGGAUAAAAAUUUGCAUAUGCCCUUUUCAUUCCUUGAUGUUUAGUGGGCAUUCAUUUUUCUGUCUGAUCUGCUUGUUCUGCAAAGCUCAGUCUCUGGUGUUAGACUGUUGAUACCAGAUGCCUCAAAAAUCUAAGGAUAAACCUUCCUCCAAAACACAUCUUCUAAACAAAUAACAUCUGCAGAAACCUUUAAAGGUAAUAGAAAUGAUUGAUAACUUGACAAUUGCUACUUUCACAUGUUGCAUAUUUUAGUUCUUUGGGCUAUUGAUGUAAAGAAACCGCUUUAAAAUACCUCAAGGCAUGUUUUCCUUUUUUGAGGGAAGAUCCUUAAAAUUAAAGAUUAUCAGCUGCCUUCAGGAGUUCUAACCUGCUUCACAGAAACUGGUAUGGUUGUCAAGCAGCCCUUAUCCUGGAGAUGGCUUUGUUGAGUGAUCCCAAUUUCUUACAGCAAAUACACAACCUGCAGGAGUCAUUGUUUGUGUAUAGGGGUGUCAAAUUGUCCUCAUUCUGUAUGAAGGAAUUGCAUGACAAAGCACUUCAACACAGAUCACAGCAAGGGACUGGCAACAAUGUUGGACUGUGAACAAAAAGCUGGUAGGCAGAGGGGUGAAAAGCAUCUUUUCUUCUUGCUGGGAUUGGCUAUCUAGCAGAAAUAAAGGCCAGUUUCAGCAGCAAGUAAGCACUGAAAUGGAAAGCCAGACCUGUUAGGGCUUCCAAUGAACUCUACCAGCAGUUUGCUUCCACUGUGUAAACCACAGCAAAACAGCUUAAAUAAAGUUACAAGAUGAUUUUGUUACACGUGGGGUAACACAUGGUUUUCAAGAAACAGAUUUCCUGUUAAUGACUGCACGGAGCUUUUCUAGGGGAUGAGUCAACAGUCCAGAUCCUGAAGGUGCUGUUCUGCUGCAGCAUCCUCUGGCCUUCAUUCCUGGUCCUCACUGUGCCUGGAUCCUCUCUGGGGCUCACCAUGGCCAUUGAUGUUCCAGGUGGAUUCUGGCCAUACUCACCAAAUCCCACUGUGGCAGAGCUGACACAAAUGUUGCCCUGCAGUGAUUUAGCCCAAAUGCCUGAAGCCUGUGAUACAUGUUUGGAAUGUUUUACUGCUUGUGCAUUGUGUACCUGCUGAGAGGCACACGUACGCCACUGCUCUGGAAUUUCAUCACCUUUUCUUUUCUGUACUCUCAAGGCAAACCUGCUCCACAAUAAACCUGCAGACUGACACAACA